rnacentral:rRNA from 1 species
AUACGGAGGGGGCUAGCGUUGUUCGGAAUUACUGGGCGUAAAGGGCGUGUAGGCGGCUUCGCCAGUCAGGCGUGAAAGCCCCGGGCUUAACCUGGGAAUUGCGCUUGAUACUGCGAGGCUAGAGUUCGGGAGAGGAGAGCGGAAUUCCCAGUGUAGAGGUGAAAUUCGUAGAUAUUGGGAAGAACACCAGUGGCGAAGGCGGCUCUCUGGACCGAUACUGACGCUGAGGCGCGAAAGCGUGGGGAGCAAACAGGAUUAGAAACCCCAGUAGUCC